rnacentral:rRNA from 1 species
UACGAGGGGUGCAAGCGUUGCUCGGAAUCAUUGGGCGUAAAGGGUAGGUAGGUGGUCUCAUUUGUCUGAGGUGAAAGCCUUGAGCUUAACUCAAGAAGUGCCUCAGAAACGGUGAGACUGGAGUCCUGGAGAGGGUCGUGGAAUUCCCGGUGUAGCGGUGAAAUGCGUAGAGAUCGGGAGGAACACCAGAGGCGAAAGCGGCGACCUGGACAGGUACUGACACUAAACUACGAAAGCGUGGGGAGCAAACAGG